GCUACGGCUCUUUUAUCUGAAACGUGGUGCUGGGACACGGAAAGUUUCCAGCUUCAAGGCACUCUCGAACGCCCUUUUCCACACUCAAGCUCGCGCUUUUUUGCUUUUCUUUCUUUCGUUUUGUUUUCUCCGUUCUUUCUUCUUUUUUUCCUGAAACUUUUGUACAUCGAAAGCUUCACCUUUCGUGUUUAUAUUCUCUUCCUCCUCUUUGCUUCUCUGCCCACGCGUCGUGUUGUGUGUGUGUUCUUGGGCAUUGGCAAAGAAACUCGGAGAAUGAAGCUCCUUUCGAUCAUGGCGAUUCCGCCCUUCACCACCCUCCUGUUCCUCAUCGUCCUCUUGCAGGCGUCUUGCUUCGCGGAUUCGCAGUCAUUCAUUGGAGUCAACUAUGGCCAGGUCGCGGAUAACCUACCGCCGCCGUCGGCCACCGCGAAGCUACUUCAAUCAACGUCGAUCGAGAAGGUCCGGUUAUAUGGAUCGGACCCCGCCAUAAUCAGCGCUCUAGCAAACACGGGUAUUGGAAUUGUCAUCGGCGCGGCGAAUGGCGACAUUCCUGCUCUGGCAAAUGAUCCUAACUUCGCAAAGAAUUGGGUGAACACAAACGUGGUUCCCUUCUAUCCCUCGAGUAAAAUCAUCCUCAUCACCGUGGGCAAUGAGGUAAUGACCUCCGGAGACCAUAAUUUGAUGACUCAGCUGUUGCCGGCGAUGCAGAACAUGCAGAAUGCGCUUAAUGCCAUGUCCCUGGGAGGGAAAAUCAAGGUGUCCUCGGUGCAUUCCAUGGCUGUGCUUAAGUCCUCUGAGCCGCCGUCUUCUGGAAGUUUUGACCCCAGCUUCGGUGAUUUGAUGAAGGGAAUCUUGGGGUUUAACGAUGCAACCGGUUCACCAUUUGCUAUCAAUCCAUAUCCCUAUUUCGCGUACAGGAGUGAUCCUAGGCCUGAGACAUUGGCUUUCUGCUUGUUCCAACCCAAUGCUGGGAGGCUCGAUACCAACACCAACAUCAAGUACACCAAUAUGUUUGAUGCUCAGGUGGAUGCUGUUCGCUCUGCAUUAAACUCGUUUGGGUUUAAAAAUGUGGAGAUUGUAGUGGCUGAGACCGGUUGGCCAUACAAGGGAGACAGCAACGAGGUUGGCCCUAGCAUCGAGAACGCGAAGGCCUAUAACGGUAAUCUGAUAGCUCACCUCCGCUCAAUGGUUGGAACUCCCUUGAUGCCUGGAAAAUCAGUAGACACUUAUCUGUUUGCCCUGUACGAUGAGGAUUUGAAACCUGGACCCGCUUCUGAGCGUGCAUUUGGUCUUUUUAAGACGGAUCUUUCCAUGAACUAUGACGUCGGCCUCUCCAAGAGUAGCCAGGCUCCCGCAGCGCCGAAGACACCCGUCGCGCCAUCGCCAAAGACACCUGUUGCCCCAACGCCAAAGCCCGAUAAUGCAACUUGGUGCAUACCCAAGGAUGGGGUGUCGGAUGCCCAGUUGCAGGCGAACUUGGAUUACGCCUGUGGGCAAGGAAUUAAUUGCCAGCCGAUCCAACCUGGUGGGGCUUGCUACGUGCCUAACACCGUGGCAUCACAUGCUGCAUAUGCCAUGAAUCUUUUCUACCAGAACUCUGACCGCAGUCCUUUGAACUGCGACUUCUCGCAGACUGCCACAGUCUCAUCCAACAACCCAAGCCCAUCAUGGGUCCUAUCAAUGAUACGACCCGAACAGAUACUCUUUUCCUUUCUGUUCUCUGUAAUCCUCUGUACUUGAAGAUCCCAUGAAGAAGCAGCAGCAUAUUCCUCCUAGCUGUAUAUGACUAUGUUACGGUGGCUGUGUCUACCCAAGUGGAGCGAGCUGAAGGCGGAGGAUCGUUAUUCUUUCAAGUAAACCGAGAAGUUGUGAAGUGUGGCAAAUGCUUUAGGUACUUAUAUUGGUGUUGUACUUUACUGCCGUUGCAAAAUCGACAGAAAUUCAAUCCUACAUGGUGUAGGAUUGUAGCAAUUACUCAAACUUGAUGGCUUCCAUGUAUAGGAAUUCUAUUGCGCCAAUCAAGUGGUUUGUCAAAGUGAAUUUAUAUUUAA